GCAGGCGAGAAUCUCCACAAUGCGCGGAAGCGUGAUGGGGGAAGUCUGAGUGAUUCACUUCGGUGGAUCUUUUGCCAAGUUUAGCAAGCUUGGAGAAUAAGUGCUGGGUAAGACCGGUGGCAGCCGCCACGGUAAUACCGGCGGCACAAGUGGUGUUCACUAUUAUUGGGCUUAAAGAGUCCGUAGCCGGCUAAAACCGUCUUGUGUGAAAUAUCGGCGCAUGACGCCGAUACGUGCAUAAGAUACCUUUUGGCUAGGGAGCGGGAGAGGUCAGGAGUAUUCAUGGGGUAAGAGUAAAAUCCCGUAAUCCUAUGAAGACUACCGGUGGCGAAGGCGCCUGACUAGAACGCAUCCGACGGUGAGUGACGAAGGCUAGGAGAACGAAUCGGAUUAGAUACCCCCGUAGUCC
rnacentral:rRNA from 1 species